rnacentral:rRNA from 1 species
CCUACGGGAGGCAGCAGUGAGGAAUAUUGGUCAAUGGCCGGAAGGCUGAACCAGCCAAGCCGCGUGAGGGAGGAAGGCGCAGCGGGUUGUAGACCUCUUUUGCCGGGGGACAAAAGGCCGGACUCGUCCGGCCCCGAGGGUACCCGGAGAAAAAGCAUCGGCUAACUCCGUGCCAGCAGCCGCGGUAAUACGGAGGAUGCGAGCGUUAUCCGGAUUCAUUGGGUUUAAAGGGUGCGCAGGCGGGACUUUAAGCCUGCGGUGAAAUCGCGGGGCUCAACCCCGCCGAGCCGUUGGAACUGCGUUGCUGGAGUGCGGGAGAGGCAGGCGGAAUUCGUGGUGUAGCGGUGAAAUGCGUAGAUAUCAGGAAGAACACCGAUUGCGAAGGCAGCCUGCUGGACCGCAACUGACGUUGAUGCCCGAAAGCGUGGGGAUCAAACAGGAUUAGAUACCCUUGUAGUC